rnacentral:rRNA from 1 species
UACGUAGGGUGCGAGCAUUGUCCGGAAUUAUUGGGCGUAAAGAGCUCGUAGGCGGCCUGUCACGUCGGAUGUGAAAGCCCGGGGCUUAACCCCCGGGUCUGCAUUCGAUACGGGCAGGCUGGAGUUCGGUAGGGGAGAUCGGAAUUCCUGGUGUAGCGGUGAAAUGCGCAGAUAUCAGGAGGAACACCGGUGGCGAAGGCGGAUCUCUGGGCCGAUACUGACGCUGAGGAGCGAAAGCGUGGGGAGCGAACAGG